rnacentral:lncRNA from 1 species
UGGAGAGCAUGAAGCAGAUGAUAUUCAGAGGGGGUCUUAGUCAUUCUUUAAGAAAGCAAGCAUGGAAAUUUCUCCUGGGUUAUUUUCCUUGGGAUAGUACCAAAGAGGAAAGAACUCAAUUACAAAAACAGAAAACUGACGAGUACUUCAGGAUGAAGCUGCAGUGGAAGUCUGUCAGUGAGGCGCAGGAGAAGAGAAACUCACGCCUGAGAGACUAUAGAAGUCUGAUUGGUAUGUCCUAGACACCAUCCAUAUUGGGGCUCAAAAGAAAUCUGAAUUGGGGAGUGCAUGGGAAUAUAACUUAUGUGUAGUCUAGCAGGCCUGUCAGUUUAGCCUUUGUAUAUUUAAGUACUUACAUACUAUCAUUCCACAAUGUGAACUAAGAAAAGAUUAUUUCCUUAUUUUAAAAGACUUAUUUUUUUUUUAUUCCUUGUAAAAGUGAUGUUGUGCUUAUUGUCAAAAAAUUAGAAACUGUAGAUGACCAAAAGAAAAUAAAAAUUUGUUUUUGCUACCUGG